rfam:Candidatus Thrbacteria bacterium RIFCSPHIGHO2_12_FTLL_57_11 rifcsphigho2_12_scaffold_21974, whole genome shotgun sequence.
GCGGGAUUAGUAUAAUGGUAGUACGCUUGCUUCCCAAGCAAGAAGCGCCAGUUCGAUUCUGGUAUCCCGCU